rnacentral:tRNA from 1 species
AAUCUUGUAUUCAAUUAAUGAUUUUAAAUUGCAAAUUUAAAGGUACAGUUUUAGUCUUGAUUU